rnacentral:tRNA from 1 species
GGAGUGGUACUCAAGAGGCCGAAGAGGUCGGUUUGCUAAACCGAUAGGGGGGGAAACUCCCGCGAGGGUUCAAAUCCCUCCCACUCCGCCA